CAGGACGAACGCUGGCGGCGUGCCUAACACAUGCAAGUCGAGCGAGGAGAUCCUUCGGGAUGAUCCUAGCGGCGGACGGGUGAGUAACACGUGGGCGACCUGCCUCAUAGAGAGGAAUAGCCUUCCGAAAGGGAGAUUAAUACCUCAUAACAUUGCAGUUUCGCAUGGAACAGCAAUUAAAGGAGUAAUCCGCUAUGAGAUGGGCCCGCGGCGCAUUAGCUAGUUGGUGAGGUAACGGCUCACCAAGGCGACGAUGCGUAGCCGACCUGAGAGGGUGAUCGGCCACAUUGGGACUGAGACACGGCCCAGACUCCUACGGGAGGCAGCAGUGGGGAAUAUUGCACAAUGGGGGAAACCCUGAUGCAGCCAACGCCGCGUGAGUGAUGACGGCCUUCGGGUUGUAAAGCUCUGUCUUCAGGGACGAUAAUGACGGUACCUGAGGAGGAAGCCACGGCUAACUACGUGCCAGCAGCAGC
rnacentral:rRNA from 1 species